CUGUUUCCCAAGUAACAGGGAUAUCAACCUUUGUUGUUAUGCUUUUGUGAUAAUAUUUUUCUCUUUCAACAAGCCACCACCCAAAUCAAGUUUCCUCCUUUUUAUCUCUUUCACAGUGCUGUAAUUGCAUGAGCCAGCAAUUACUCAGCAGCUGGUCCGCACCUGUUCCUAGUCCACCCUUAACAAAACCAAAAACAAAAUAGUGUUCUUUUACCUUCGACUUCGAACUUUCUCUAUCCAUUCAUACCCUGCCGCGUGUAUUGGUGUACUAUCGCCAACACCCCCUUGGUUUUUAACUCUUCAUUCUUCCCUCUUUCCUUCUUCCCAUGGCGAUCCAAGGUGUUUUCUGUUAGGCCCUUUUUCACCCAUUUCCACACAAAAAGGACAUAGUAUUGGAAAGGAUGAUUGACAAUGUUAAAGAAUCUGGUGGAAUUUACUUUGUUGAUGACAACCAUCUAAGUCGACCAACAACUAUUCUAUGUUUGAACUCUGUUUCUAGUUUUUAUAAGGUUAUGAUUUGACAUUAUAGGCUUGGGCACCCUAAUUUUUACUAUUUAAGACAUUUGUUACCUAAUCUAUUUAACAAUAAAAGUCAUUCAUAUCGCUGUGAAUUUUGUGAGUUGACUAAACAUCAUCGAUCAUUCUUUCCACUUCAAGAAUAUAAAGCUUCCAAACUUUUUUCAUUAAUUCAUAGUGAUGUUUGAAACCCUUCAAGAGUCUAAACUUUUUUAGGAAAACAUUAGUUUGUCACAUUUAUUAAUGAUCAUACUCGCAUUUAUUAGGUAUUUUUAUUAAAAGAUAAGUCUGAAGUUAAAAAUGUGUUUUAGUUUUUUUAUGCUAUUGUGAAAACACAAUUUGGUGUGAAAAUAAAAGUAUUUCGGAGUCACAAUAGUGGGGAAUUUUUUAGUGACCAAUUAGGUGUUUUUUUAACUAAACAUUGAAUAAUUCUCCAAAGCUCUUGUACAAAUACACCACAACAGAAUAAGAUUGUAGAAAGAAAAAAUAGUCAACUUUUGGAAAUAAUUAGAGCCUUGAUAUUCACUAGUCAGGUUCUAUGUUAUCUUUGGGGAGAAGCCUUGUUAAUGGCUACAUAUCUAGUGCCCAGUAAAACUCUAAACUAUAUAACUCAUUUCAGUCUUUUUAAAGAUAACUUUCCUAAUUCUAAAUUGAUCACAGAUUUACCCCUUCGUGUUUUUAGGUGUAGUGUUUUUGUUUAUCUUCACAACCAAGGUAAACUAGAUCCUAGAGUUAAAAAAAUGUUUUGUUGGGUAUGAUCUAAUAAAAAGGGUUAAAAAUGUUAUGAUCCAAUUGAUAGGAAGAUUAUUGUUACCAUGGAUGUCACAUUUAUUGAAACACAAUCUUACUUUGAUUCUAAUCUCUAAGGAGAAAUUAAAGCAAGGAAGAUUCAAUAAUUGAUCAAGAAAAGGCUAAGAAUAUACAACAUGGAGAUUCUAAUAAUGGGAAAGACAGAUUGAUGAUCAAUAUAGACAUUAAUGAUGUUAAUAAAAAGGACUUGAAUAAUGUUAAUGUUGUUAAUAAAAAGGAAUAUGAAGGUGUAAAGUCUGAUCAUGAGAAUAGAGAACAAACAAAGGAGUUGUUGGUUUACUCAAGAAAAUGGAAUCCACUACAUUUAUACCAAGAAUUCGACCCUUAAGAUCUUGUCAACAGUCCAGGAAGGUUUUGACCUUUGCUUACUAUCCUUGAAUCCCUUCCCAGAUUCCCCUAUCAUUAGUGGAUUGAGGCGUCUUUGAGCUUCUCCGUUCAUUUUUGCAUUUUUUUCUGUUGGAAUCCUUUUAUGUUCUAGAAACGGUUUGAGUUCUAAUUUUGAGGCUUUCAUGACAGCUUCAUGUAUUGGUUUUUGAUCAUCGAUAAUUCCUGUUGCUCAUGAUUUGUAACUUAUCAUUAGGAUGUCUCAUAUCCUCAUAAACAUUAAACUUAACCACUUAUUUGUCAAAUUUCAUAGUGAGUAUUCCACUCCAAA